rnacentral:rRNA from 1 species
UACGGAGGGUGCAAGCGUUAUCCGGAUUUACUGGGCUUAAAGGGUGCGUAGGUGGGCAUGUAAGUCAGUGGUGAAAUCUCCGUGCUUAACAUGGAAACUGCCAUUGAUACUAUGUUUCUUGAAUUUUCUGGAGGUCAGCGGAAUAUGUCAUGUAGCGGUGAAAUGCUUAGAUAUGACAUAGAACACCAAUUGCGAAGGCAGCUGACUACAGGGAUAUUGACACUGAGGCACGAAAGCGUGGGGAUCAAACAGG